rnacentral:rRNA from 1 species
UGCAAGUCGAGCGGAAAGGCCCUUCGGGGUACUCGAGCGGCGAACGGGUGAGUAACACGUGAGCAACCUGCCCCAUGCUUUGGGAUAACCCUCGGAAACGGGGGCUAAUACCGAAUAUUCACUGCUGAUCGCAUGUUUGGUGGUGGAAAGUUUUUCGGCGUGGGAUGGGCUCGCGGCCUAUCAGCUUGUUGGUGGGGUAAUGGCCUACCAAGGCGACGACGGGUAGCCGGCCUGAGAGGGCGACCGGCCACACUGGGACUGAGACACGGCCCAGACUCCUACGGGAGGCAGCAGUGGGGAAUAUUGCACAAUGGGCGGAAGCCUGAUGCAGCGACGCCGCGUGAGGGAUGACGGCCUUCGGGUUGUAAACCUCUUUCAGCAGGGACGAAGCGAGAGUGACGGUACCUGCAGAAGAAGCGCCGGCCAACUACGUGCCAGCAGCCGCGGUAAGACGUAGGGCGCGAGCGUUGUCCGGAAUUAUUGGGCGUAAAGAGCUCGUAGGCGGCUUGUCGCGUCGACUGUGAAAACCCGCGGCUCAACCGCGGGCCUGCAGCCGAUACGGGCAGGCUAGAGUUCGGUAGGGGAGACUGGAAUUCCUGGUGUAGCGGUGAAAUGCGCAGAUAUCAGGAGGAACACCGAUGGCGAAGGCAGGUCUCUGGGCCGAUACUGACGCUGAGGAGCGAAAGCGUGGGGAGCGAACAGGAUUAGAUACCCUGGUAGUCCACGCUGUAAACGUUGGGCGCUAGGUGUGGGGGACCUCUCCGGUUCUCUGUGCCGCAGCUAACGCAUUAAGCGCCCCGCCUGGGGAGUACGGCCGCAAGGCUAAAACUCAAAGGAAUUGCCGGGGGCCCGCACAAG